UGCUAGGGAAGAGAGAAGAAUGCUAGAUCGUGAGAGCCCUCACCGUGUGGCGUUCGGGGUGGGUUUGUGUCUGCCCUGGGUGUGGCUCUCCCAGAUGCUAUUGGCCAGGUGGUUGCCGAUGGCGGUCAGGACCUGGGUGAGCUCCCGAGGCCAGUCAUCCAAGUCCAGAGAGCGGACCCUCGAUAGGUGUGUCCCCAGGUUACGGUGGAUCCCUGAACACUCAAUGCAGAUCAACGCACCCAGGUUGAGACUGGCCCAUGUGGGGUCUGGAUGAAGGACAGACAAACCAGAGCACAGGAUGUGAGAAAUCAUCCACUCUCCCACUGUGUUGGCAUGCUGCAGAGAACGGAGCUGCUGCAUGUGACAGAUCCUAAUUCAAAUGGCUUCAUUCGGCACCCUGGAGCAUCAUUCCUUCUCCCCACGCUGUUUUUUUGGUCAGCCUAUUUUUGGCACGGCGGCCAUCAUCCGCUUCAUCCAACUCACUUCCAUUCAAUUCCUGACAGAAAUGCCGCCUCUGACACCAGUGCAAUGCACACUAUGGGCUCUGGCCAAAAGUAGUGCUCUAUGUAGGGAAUAGAGUGCCAUUUGGGAUUGAGCCCAUGAGAUGGGUACCACAGAGUGGACUGUCAGAGUCAGAAUCUGUGAUCGUGGCUGUCAUGGAACAUUUGCUGGCCAAAAUGUAUAAAUUAUGCUAAAUAAAUGUUUAAAGCACAAGUGACUCUCAACUAAUUAGGGACUCUGGUGACCU